GGGUACUUAGUUCAAUUGGCAGAGCAAUCGGCUCAUAACCGAUAAGUUAUAGGUUCGAGUCCUAUAGUACCCACCA
rnacentral:tRNA from 1 species